GACGUAGGGCGCGAGCGUUGUCCGGAUUUAUUGGGCGUAAAGAGCUCGUAGGCGGCUCGUUGCGUCGGCUGUGAAAACCCGCAGCUCAACUGUGGGCUUGCAGCUGAUACGGGCGGGCUGGGAUUCGGUAGGGGAGACUGGAAUUCCUGGUGUAGCGGUGAAAUGCGCAGAUAUCAGGAGGAACACCGGUGGCGAAGGCGGCUAUCUGGCCCAAUAUUGACGCUGAGAUGCGAAAAGCCGUGGGGGAUCAAACAGGGAU
rnacentral:rRNA from 1 species